rnacentral:rRNA from 1 species
CAGUAGCCACGGUAAUACAGAGGGUGCGAGCGUUAAUCGGAUUUACUGGGCGUAAAGCGUGCGUAGGCGGCUUCUUAAGUCGGAUGUGAAAUCCCUGAGCUUAACUUAGGAAUUGCAUUCGAUACUGGGAAGCUAGAGUAUGGGAGAGGAUGGUAGAAUUCCAGGUGUAGCGGUAAAAUGCGUAGAGAUCUGGAGGAAUACCGAUGGCGAAGGCAGCCAUCUGGCCUAAUACUGACGCUGAGGUACGAAAGCAUGGGGAGCAAACAGGAUUAGAUACCCCUGUAGUCCCUGUCUCUUAUAC